AGCGAACGCUGGCGGCAGGCCUAACACAUGCAAGUCGAACGAACUCUUCGGAGUUAGUGGCGGCCGGGUGAGCAACACGUGGUAACGUGCCUUUUGGUUCGGAAUAACUCAGGGAAACUUGUGCUAACACCGAAUGUGCCCUUCGGGGGAAAGAUUUCUCGCCAUUAGAGCGGCCCGCGUCUGAUUAGCUAGUUGGUGAGGUAACUGCUCACCAAGGCGACGAUCAGUAGCUGGUCUGAGAGGAUGACCAGCCACACUGGGACUGAGACACGGCACAGACUCCUACGGGAGGCAGCAGUGGGGAAUCUUGCGCAAUGGGCGCAAGCCUGACGCAGCCAUGCCGCGUGAAUGAUGCAGGUCUUAGGAUUGUAAAAUUCUUUCACCGGGGACGAUAAUGACGGUACCCGGAGCAGAAGCCCCGGCUAACUUCGUG
rnacentral:rRNA from 1 species